rnacentral:rRNA from 1 species
UACGUAAGUGGCAGGCGUUAUCCGGAUUUACUGGGCAUAAAGCGCGCGCAGGUGGCUUUUUAAGUCAGAUGUUAAAACCUAUAGCUCAACUAUAGUCCGCAUUUGAUACUGAAGAGCUAGAGAUCAGGAGAGGAAAGCGGAACUCAUGGUGUAGCGGUGAAAUGCGUAGAUAUCAUGAGGAACACCAGUGGCGAAGGCGGCUUUCUGGACUGAUUCUGACACUGAGGCGCGAAAGCGUGGGGAGCAAACGGG